rnacentral:tRNA from 1 species
GGAGCUGUGACCGAGUGGCCGAAGGUGCUCCCCUGCUAAGGGAGUAUGUGGGCAAAACCUGCAUCCAGGGUUCGAAUCCCUGCGGCUCCGCCA